GGGGAGGGGAAACGGCAGCCUCAACCGCCUGGCAGCGGCGGUUUCUUCUCUUCGUGAAAAUCGUGAUCUCAUCUCUCCGUCCAUGGGCGAAAAAACAGCCAUCACCAGGCCAUUCACGCUUUGUGCUUUUGUUAGCAGAGCCCAGGCAGCCCUGCAGCCCACAUCUAGGGUACAAACGGAACGGCGGCGUUUUCCUUGUAUCAUUUAGAGGAAAUUUUUGAGCUGAACAGUAUUUUUUUUCUCCCUCUCUCUCUCUCUGAAAUAUUGCUGAGAUUUAAAGGAGGACGAAGACAACAGAUUCAUAGCUGGGUCUUGCUGUUUUCCUGACGCUGACCACAGCGGAUCUAGUUUCUCUGCAGAAGACAGCAAGAUGCCCCAGGGAAUGUUUGUGAAAAAGGAUGACUGGAUGGGAAGCAAGCUGAAGAAAAAGAAGGAAAGAAAGAGAGAAAUCAGUAAAUCACCACACAAGAGGUGGAGAAGAGGACUUAUAAAUAUUGUUUCUAUGACAUUUGAAAAUAAAUGUUUUACUCCAUGCUAAUAGUGAAUGUGAUGUCUUCAGUUUGAAGGGCUUUAAGUGAAGCUCAUUAAAACCCACUAUUUUCCA
rnacentral:lncRNA from 1 species